UACGAGGGGGGCGAGCGUUGUUCGGAAUUAUUGGGCGUAAAGGGCGCGUAGGCGGUGCGGUAAGUCACCUGUGAAAGCCCCGGGCUCAACCUGGGAAUGGCAAUGGAUACUGGCAAGCUAGAGUGCGGUAGAGGGUAGUGGAAUUCCCGGUGUAGCGGUGAAAUGCGUAGAGAUCGGGAGGAACACCAGUGGCGAAGGCGGCUACCUGGACCAGCACUGACACUGAGGCACGAAAGCGUGGGGAGCAAACAGG
rnacentral:rRNA from 1 species